rnacentral:lncRNA from 1 species
CUAUAUCCAAAGAUAAAGAUAGGCAUGAAGUUGAAGACAAGCCUUAAGUCCAGAGUCCUGGAUUGAAUAAUUAUAUUCACUAAUUACAUUGAUCUACCGUUAAACAUGCUUCCUGAACACGUACUUCUGGCUGGAGAAAGGUAAAGUCAUCCUGAACCUCAGAUUAUCAUUACACCAAUUUAAAGUACAAUGUGUAGCAAUAAUUGAAGAACAUCUGACAAACAUGUGACCACCUCAAUAAAUGUCAAAAACAACCUUUAGCUAAUAUUCAAAACCUAGUUAAAUUAAUUACUUUCAAUAAACUAAGAAAAAGAGGGAUCUCCAUAUUCUAAAAGAGGAUAAUUUCACAGUCUUACAAAAUAUAUUUUUAUUAACGGUGAAAUAUUGAACUCUUUCCCCAUAAAAUUGAGAUAAAUAAGGUUAUCCACUCUAUUACUUCUAUUUAAUAGUAUACUGGAGGAUGUCAGUAAAAAAAUGAUAAAGACUCUUGAAAAUUCCGUUCAACAUGAAACAAUGAGAGCACAAUGAAUUGAACUGUUUUUCAGACUUCUGGAAAUUAGCCAAAGUUUUCAGAAAUAGUUCAAGUGUUUAUUUAACAAAAGUGCAUAUAUCUUAGUGAGAAUAGUGAUAUUGUCUUGUUCUCUUGUUGUCUUGUUCCCUCCUUACAUCUACACAUGUAGUGGAGCACUGAAAAGAGAUAGCCCACGGUGAAAGCAGAGGUCUGACACUGGAAGCAGCAGCAUGGAGUUGGAGCUCCCUCAAAGCUCUGUUCCAGAACCUUGUCGUACUUUGACUCAUCUUGUGGAUCUCUGGAAAAUCACACAUGUAGAGCUAUUUGUAUAUUGCCAGGACUUUGAGCUUUCCUAGUACCAAAGCCAUAUGUGGAAGACAGUUAGAGGCAAUUUUUGAGUAUUGUGGAUGACUGAAAUCAUGAAUAACAGUUGAAGAAAUUAAUAGGUUAACUAAGAAGCUUAAAAUAAAAAGAUGAUGAAUGAAGUUGUUUUAGUCAGCAUUUUCACUUCUGUGACUCAAAGAACUGAAAAGAGAAAAGUUAGAGGUGGAAAAUUUUAUUUGAAGGCUCAUUAUUUCAGUGGUAUCAGUCAAUAGACAGCCAGUCCAUUCCUUGAGUCUCAAUGAAAAAUUGAACAUCAUGGCAGAAGAGUAUGGUGGAGGGAAGCAGCUCACAUGAUUAUCAGGAAGCAAAGAGAAAUAUCUACUUGCCAGAUGCAAUUAUAUACCCCAAAGGCAAACCCCAAUGCCCUACCUCCUCCAGCCAUAGCUACCUGCCUUCAGUUACAACUAAGUUAAUCCAUCAGGUGAUUAAUUCACUAGUUACAACUAUUAUACUUAAACAUUUUUACCUUUAAACCUACUUGCAGUGACCCACACAUGAACUAUUGGGGGACACCUCACAUACAAACCAUAACAGAGCUGUUCAUAAAUGACAUCAAGUAUGUCUAACAUACUCCUGGGGCAUUAGAACACCAUGAAUGUUCAGGAUAGAUCUAAGAAGGUCCUAAGUUUUCACCUUAGUCCAACUUCAGGUGUCUGUAUAAUGUGGAUCAAAAAAUUAAAAAAUUAAGCAGAACUUACCAUAUGAUCUAGAACUCCAUUUAAGGGUAUUUACCUAAAACAAUUGAAAGCAUGCACUGGAAUAGAUAGAUAUUUGUACAUCCAUGUUUACCCAAAAUAGCUGAAGGUAAGAAAACUCCAAAAUAUGCAUCAAUGGAAGAAUGGAUACAAAAAAUGUGGCCAAUACAGUCAAUAGAAUAUUUCCCAGCCUUAAGUAAUAAUGACACAUUUUACCAAACGGUUGAAGCUUGAACACAACCAGACCAAUAAGAUGGUAUUUUUGUGAGAUACCUGGGGUAGUCAAAUUCAUGGACUGAAAGUAAAUGGUAGUUUUCAGGGAAAAAUGAAAUAGGAGAUGUCAUUUAAUUGGUAUAGACUUUUAGUUUAGGAGGAUAAAAAAAAUCUCUGGAGAUGAUUGUUGGUGUUAGUUGCACAAUAAUGCAAAAUACAUGUCACUCAAUUAACAUGUUAUGCAUAUUUACCACAGC